CGAAAGAGUGAUCUGGAGCGAAACCCAAAAAAUAAGUCUCAGUUCGGAUUGAAGGCUGAAAUUCGCCUUCAUGAAGCUGGAAUUGCUAGUAAUGGCAGGUCAGCACACUGCCGUGAAUACGUUCCCGGGCCUUGUACACACCGCCCGUCACACCAUGAGAGUUGGGAAUACCCGAAGCCUGUGAGCUAACUUUUAAGAGGCAGCAGUCGAAGGUAGAAUCAAUGAUUGAGGUGAAGUCGUAACAAGGUACC
rnacentral:rRNA from 1 species